rnacentral:rRNA from 1 species
UACGGAGGGUGCAAGCGUUAUCCGGAUUCACUGGGUUUAAAGGGUGCGUAGGCGGACUUAUAAGUCAGUGGUGAAAGCCGAUAGCUUAACUAUCGAACUGCCAUUGAUACUGUAAGUCUAGAGUAUAGAUGAUGUUGGCGGAAUAUGACAUGUAGCGGUGAAAUGCAUAGAUAUGUCAUAGAACACCGAUUGCGAAGGCAGCUGACAAAACUAUAACUGACGCUGAUGCACGAAAGUGCGGGGAUCAAACAGG